GGCGGUUCUCGGGUGACACACCCCAGAAUUGGGCUCCCUCCUCUCUGGUUCUGGGUAUGUCACCUGAGAACUGCC
rfam:Myotis lucifugus cont2.26487, whole genome shotgun sequence.